rnacentral:tRNA from 1 species
AAGGAUUUAAGUUAUAUUAAACUAUCAACCUUCAAAGUUUAAAAAAAAGACUAUCUUUAAGCCUUA